GUUGAACUUCAUACUGUCAAGGGAGAUCUAAGGAGAAGGCCUUUUUUACUUGGGGAAAAUUGCUCCCACUUCUGGUUUUCGUAGUCAAGAGUUCGUCAAGAUAUAAGGCAGUACUACACUAUUCUGGACGACAACAUACAGAGCUGUUACACAUCGUAUACAGGAGUACAUCCAUGGACUAUUUUGUUGUGGACAUUCUGUGUUUAUGGACCAUCAGUGAACUCGUGUGUACUUUUGACCAUUGUUUUGCCUCACCAUCUGGAUGUGAUUGGAUUUGUAUUUGUGCUGAUUAGUACAAGGUGCCCUGAUUACCUAGAUUAUCUUGAAGAGAAUGUCACUGUUUCAUGCUACUGUUUGUGAAGUGAGGUUGUAAUGUAAUAAACAUAUGUGACCUAAA
rnacentral:lncRNA from 1 species